rnacentral:rRNA from 1 species
AUUGAACGCUGGCGGCAGGCCUAACACAUGCAAGUCGAGCGGAUGAAGGGAGCUUGCUCCUGGAUUCAGCGGCGGACGGGUGAGUAAUGCCUAGGAAUCUGCCUGGUAGUGGGGGAUAACGUCCGGAAACGGGCGCUAAUACCGCAUACGUCCUGAGGGAGAAAGUGGGGGAUCUUCGGACCUCACGCUAUCAGAUGAGCCUAGGUCGGAUUAGCUAGUUGGUGGGGUAAAGGCCUACCAAGGCGACGAUCCGUAACUGGUCUGAGAGGAUGAUCAGUCACCCUGGAACUGAGACACGGUCCAGACUCCUACGGGAGGCAGCAGUGGGGAAUAUUGGACAAUGGGCGAAAGCCUGAUCCAGCCAUGCCGCGUGUGUGAAGAAGGUCUUCGGAUUGUAAAGCACUUUAAGUUGGGAGGAAGGGCAGUAAGUUAAUACCUUGCUGCUUUGACGUUACCAACAGAAUAAGCACCGGCUAACUUCGUG